AACGAACGCUGGCGGCAUGCCUAACACAUGCAAGUCGAACGAGACCUUCGGGUCUAGUGGCGCACGGGUGCGUAACGCGUGGGAACCUGCCCUUAGGUUCGGAAUAACUCCCCGAAAGGGGUGCUAAUACCGGAUAAUGUCUUCGGACCAAAGAUUUAUCGCCUUUGGAUGGGCCCGCGUUGGAUUAGCUAGUUGGUAGGGUAAAAGCCUACCAAGGCGACGAUCCAUAGCUGGUCUGAGAGGAUGAUCAGCCACACUGGGACUGAGACACGGCCCAGACUCCUACGGGAGGCAGCAGAGGGGGAUAUUGGACAAUGGGCGAAAGCCUGAUCCAGCAAUGCCGCGUGAGUGAUGAAGGCCUUAGGGUUGUAAAGCUCUUUUACCCGGGAUGAUAAUGACAGUACCGGGAGAAUAAGCUCCGGCUAACUCCGUG
rnacentral:rRNA from 1 species